GACGAACGCUGGCGGCGUGCUUAACACAUGCAAGUCGAACGGAAAGGCCCUGCUUGCAGGGUACUCGAGUGGGGAACGGGUGAGUAACACGUGGGUGAUCUGCCCUGCACUUCGGGAUAAGCCUGGGAAACUGGGUCUAAUACCGGAUAGGAGCCAUUUUUAGUGUGAUGGUUGGAAAGUUUUUUCGGUGUAGGAUGAGCUCGCGGCCUAUCAGCUUGUUGGUGGGGUAAUGGCCUACCAAGGCGGCGACGGGUAGCCGGCCUGAGAGGGUGGACGGCCACAUUGGGACUGAGAUACGGCCCAGACUCCUACGGGAGGCAGCAGUGGGGAAUAUUGCACAAUGGGCGCAAGCCUGAUGCAGCGACGCCGCGUGGGGGAUGACGGCCUUCGGGUUGUAAACUCCUUUCGCUAGGGACGAAGCUUUUUGUGACGGUACCUAGAUAAGAAGCACCGGCUAACUACGU
rnacentral:rRNA from 1 species